rnacentral:rRNA from 1 species
AACGCUGGCGGCGUGCCUAAUACAUGCAAGUCGAACGGUCUUUCUAUGGAAGCUUGCUUCCACUGAGAAGAUAGUGGCGAACGGGUGAGUAACACGUGGGUAACCUGCCCAUAAGAGGGGGAUAACAUCCGGAAACGGGUGCUAAUACCGCAUAGUUUUCUUGAUCGCAUGAUCGGGAAAGGAAAGACGGCCUUUGUGCUGUCGCUUAUGGAUGGACCCGCGGCGUAUUAGUUAGUUGGUGAGGUAACGGCUCACCAAGACGAUGAUACGUAGCCGACCUGAGAGGGUGAUCGGCCACAUUGGGGCUGAGACACGGCCCAAACUCCUACGGGAGGCAGCAGUAGGGAAUCUUCCGCAAUGGACGAAAGUCUGACGGAGCAACGCCGCGUGAGUGAAGAAAGGUUUUCGGAUCGUAAAACUCUGUUGUCAGAGAAGAACAAGUUGGAGAGUAACUGCUCCAGCCUUGACGGUAUCUGACCAGAAAGCCACGGCUAACUACGUGCCAGCCGCUGC